UCACAGUGUAGCUGGUUCCAGCUCCACACGUGCAAAGCCUCCUAUGUUUAAUUGGAAUGUUUCUCUUCUGGAUGACUUCAUGGGCUGCUCUGACAGAGCUAUGUGCAGAGCUGGGUUCUCCUGCCCUGGGUGAGCAAUGCUGUUUGUACACUUCAUAUGCUUUUCACUUGGCAGCUGGCCUCAUCCCAACCAAGUCAGGAGUAAAAAUUCAUGAUGAUUUCAGCUGGCCAAAGGGUCAGGAGGCUGAGGAUGGAUAUCUGGAUGCUGCAGCACUCUGGGGAGAGCAAGGAACAGCAGCCUCUCCAAGAAGCCUCUACUAUGAAAAGAAAGAAGUAAAAGCAAGAAUCCCAAGAGUGCCUACAAGCCAUGGAGAGCUUGUUUGAACGACAAACAUGGGGAUAAGGCAAGGCAGUGUAAUUGACUGAGAAGGGAGAGCCUUGGGGUGUCUUCUGGGUGCUGCAGGAUCAUAGGUACGUCACUUCCCGUGUGCAUGUGGACUUCCCACCUGGGGUGUGAUGCCUUCCAAUUCCUCUUGGGUAUUGAGCCCCACCUACUCCUCUGGGGUUCCAAUGCUGGUCACACAGGGCAGUUUAAUGUAAUAUAAAUCAUCAAAUGAAAGAGGGGAUUUAAAAAUAAUUUCUUUUGUUACUGGUACUUCAAAAUACUUUACAAGCCAUAUCGAGAGGAUUUUAAAAAAUCUUUCUUUAUGAGUUGCUUUCUUUUCCAGAAUAGUAUCCUUGGAAAUGACCCACUGGGUAAAAACAAAACAAUACUAAAUCCCUGUGAAAAGCAGCCAUUUGAACUUCCAUGAAAGCCAUUACCUUCAAAAGCCUGCGCUGUGUUUGGGUGGCACUGUGGAGACGGAAGGGUUGGGACUAAGGGGACAGGAGGUGCCAUGGAUCGCCAUGCAGAGUGCCGUGAGUGCAUUUGUCUGUGUAGCAGGCUCAGACACAGACCUUGCAGUGUGAGCCCAGGCCAGUGCCCGCUCAGGGUGCUACAUUUCACAUCAGCACAGCUCAGUUAAGACACAGCCACACAGAAAUCAGUAGGAAGAAGAAGCCGCAGAGUAAACAACUGUCCCACUUGUCCAGGUAGCUGCUUGUGUCUUUACCCCUUAUUUUAAGCACCAGAUAAAGAGACCACUAUAUUCACAUUGGCACCCCAGCUGUGCUGGCAGGUUUUGUUUUUCCAGGUGCCAGGCACCACUCAGGAGCUUACAUCCUCAGACUAAUCGGGCUUGAGGUUUGUUACCAUGCCAUGCUAGUCAGACUGAACACAUAAUUUUUAAAAUGUCUGAGAGAGGUGACGCCAGAGUUUUUGUCAUGUCCUUAGGGAAAGAUCAGGAAUGGAAACUCACUAUGUUUUUUUUUAAACAAUUACUGGAGGAGCUUUUGGAGAUACUAGUCAGAGACUGGUAGAGGGGCCAUGCCAUGUGGGAGCUCACUCUUUCCUCCUGGCAUAACUAACUAGGGGAGCUGAAAAGAGCAACUGAAAAGAGUCAAAAAGUACUUGGGAUGCUUGGAAAUGUCUGCCUGUUGUCUGACCACCUACCCCCAGCUUUGUUGAGAACACGCCCAUGUGCCAGAAGGAGCAAGAGAGCUGCUGUAGGUUUUGAAGCCACUUCCCAAGCUGCCCUCAUACUUCUCCAUAUGGUCCUGCCAUUUUAUUAAAUUCUUCUGGAGUUGCUCCUGACCUAAGCUAAGUACUUUUCUAUUGACAUCAACUUUUGCCACUUCACUAUUCACCCCCAGGUUAUUAAUAAAGCAUUAAACAAUAUUGGUCUGAGUCUCACUCUCUAGGGCACCUCAUUAUUAAUCUCUUUCCCUACUAGAAUUGGCCAUUUAUUCCACACCCAUUUAUAACCAGAUUUUAAUCCAUGACAGGACUUUACCUCUCACUUUGUGGUUACCAAGUUUCCUUAACAGUUUCUUGUAUGGGUGUUUAUCAAAAGGCUUUUGAAUGCCCAAAUAAAUUAUUUUCUCUGGUUGUUCUUUACUCACUAUUUUAUUAAGUCUUAAAAGUGUAAAAGGUCUGACUGGCAAGAUUUAUUCUUAUAGCAGCUAUGUUUCUUUUUCUCUUUUGCCUGAGACUUGAUAUUUCCCUGCAGAUUGUAAAAUAUUUAAAAGAGUGACCCUCUAAAUCUAGUGGCUUGAAGCAGCACCAGAUGUGUUGUCAAUGUUUAAUUAAAAAAAAAAGCGAAUGUAAUAUACUGCUGACUUUCUCAACUACUUCCUUGUAAUGAAGUUAAGUUAAUAAUGUAAAAUUUCCAUGAGCUCGUCU